UAGGGAAUAUUGCGCAAUGGGCGAAAGCCUGACGCAGCGACGCCGCGUGGGGGAUGAAGGCCUUCGGGUUGUAAACCCCUUUCGUGAGGGAAGAACACUGACUUAACCUCAGGAAGAAGCACCGGCUAACUCCGUGCCAGCAGCUGCGGUAAUACGGAGAGUGCAAACGUUGUUCGGAUUCACUGGGCGUAAAGGGCACGUAGGCGGCCCGGCGACUGAGUUGUGUAAUCCUUCCGCUUAACGGGAGAACGGCAGCUCAAAAUACCGGGCUCGAAGUCGUCAGGGGCAACUGGAACUCCUGGUGGAGCGGUGAAAUGCGUAGAUAUCAGGAGGAACGCCGGAGGCGAAAGCGAGUUGCUGGGGCGAUCUUGACGCUGAGGUGCGAAAGCUAGGGGAGCAAACAGG
rnacentral:rRNA from 1 species